rnacentral:rRNA from 1 species
CUACCUGUUUAUUAAAAACAUGUCUUCUUGAUUAUAAUUUGAAGUCCGACCUGCUCUAUGAAUUUUAAAUGGCCGCAGUAUUUUGACUGUGCUAAGGUAGCAUAAUAAUUAGUUUCUUAAUUAGGAGCUUGUAUGAAUGGUUUUAUAAGAAAACUUCUUUCUUAAUAUUAAUUAAUUUGAAUUUUAUUUUUAAGUAAAAAAGCUUAAAUUUUUUUAGGGGACGAGAAGACCCUAUAGAAUUUUAUAUAAGUAAUUUUUAAUUAAAUUUAGUAUUUAAUUUUUAUUUGUUGUUUUUAUUUAGUUGGGGUGACUGAAAAAUUUAGUUAACUUUUUUUAUUAUUUUACUUUAUUAAUGAAUUGAUGAUCCGAUUAAUCGAUUAAAAGAAAAAAUUACCUUAGGGAUAACAGCGUUAUAAUUUUUUAGAGUUCUUAUCGAAAAAAUUGAUUGCGACCU